ACCUGAUGACAGAGGGAUUGGGAAGUUGAUGCACAACACUUGAGUCAGUGGAUGAUGGUGCCACCCAAACAUGGGAGAAUCUGUGCAAAACUGAGAGACAUAAAAGCCAGAAAGGCAGCCGAUGAAAGGGCUUUCUCAGACUGCCUGGUGAAUGAAAAUGAUGGUGAAGCUGAUAAAAAAGACACAAGAUCUGAAAAAAAAAGACUGUACUUGGAGGACGGGCCAAGCCGUCCCAACGGGCUCCACCACUUAUCACCAGUCUUCUGAGAUUCCACCAAGAUUCAACCCCUUAUGAAUAAUCUCACCCACAGGCACAAAGGAGCACUGGAA